rnacentral:rRNA from 1 species
AUUGAACGCUGGCGGCAUGCUUUACACAUGCAAGUCGAGCGGCAGCGCGGGGGGCAACCCUGGCGGCGAGCGGCGAACGGGUGAGUAAUGCAUCGGAACGUACCCUGGAGUGGGGGAUAACGCCGCGAAAGCGGCGCUAAUACCGCAUAUGCUCUGAGGAGGAAAGUGGGGGACCGCAAGGCCUCACGCUCUGGGAGCGGCCGAUGUCCGAUUAGCUAGUUGGUGAGGUAAAGGCUUACCAAGGCGACGAUCGGUAGCUGGUCUGAGAGGAUGAUCAGCCACACUGGGACUGAGACACGGCCCAGACUCCUACGGGAGGCAGCAGUGGGGAAUUUUGGACAAUGGGGGCAACCCUGAUCCAGCCAUGCCGCGUGAGUGAAGAAGGCCUUCGGGUUGU